rnacentral:misc_RNA from 1 species
AACCAUUCUCACCUGCGGCUAGACCUGCGGAGGGAUCAUUAUUGAAUUUUAAUGAAGAGUCUGGUUGUAGCUGGUCCAUUUAAUUGGGCAUGUGCACACCUUUCUCUUUCAUCCACACACACCUGUGAACCUGUGAGACAGAUGGGAAAUUUUCGCUUAUUUAUUUUUUGAAAUACAAAGAUAACUGAGUGAUUUGGACCCCUCUGUCUACUCAAUUCAAUAUAAACUCAAUUUAUUCUA